rnacentral:rRNA from 1 species
UACGUAGGGGGCAAGCGUUGUCCGGAAUUAUUGGGCGUAAAGAGCGCGUAGGCGGUCCGAUAAGUCGGCUGUGAAAGUCAGGGGCUCAACCCUUGAAAGCCGGCCGAUACUGUCGGACUAGAGUCCGGAAGAGGCGAGUGGAAUUCCUGGUGUAGCGGUGAAAUGCGCAGAUAUCAGGAAGAACACCCGUGGCGAAGGCGGUUCUCUGGGACGGUACUGACGCUGAGACGCGAAAGCGUGGGGAGCGAACAGG